GCUAGAUAGUGCAGUUGGUUAGAGCAAGGUGCUGACAACACCAAGGCUGCAGGUUCAAUCCCUGUAUGGGGCAGCU